rnacentral:rRNA from 1 species
UACGAAGGGGGCUAGCGUUGCUCGGAAUUACUGGGCGUAAGCGCACGUAGGCGGCUUUCUAAGUCGGGGGUGAAAUCCUGGAGCUCAACUCCAGAACUGCCUUCGAUACUGGAGCUUGAGUCCGGGAGAGGUGAGUGGGAACUGCGAGUGUAGAGGUGAAAUUCGUAGAUAUUCGCAAGAACACCGGUGGCGAAGGCGGCUCACUGGCCCGGUACUGACGCUGAGGUGCGGAAAGCGUGGGGGAGCAAACAGGG